UCAUGAGAAAAAAAUCCCACUUUUUAGGUGACAAGCUCAUGCCUAGCUAGAGUGUGCGGAGUGCUGGAAGUCAGAAGUUGAACUCUGUCAAAUGAUCUAUGUGGAAUUUAGUAAAGUUUACCAUUUAAAUUUCAGGUCCUAGAGGAGAGGAAUAGUAUGUAGCUAUCAUGAGGAAAAUUAGUGGGUGUAGACCACAAGUGAUCCACAUUGCCCACCAUCUUUGAACAAUUAUGUUUUAACACUGGCAGGCAACUAAGCAUCACACAGCUGCUUACUCAUUCUCCCUAAAUGUGAUGGGAAAGAGAAAUGGAAAGACAAAAGUGAGAAAACUCAUAGGUUGAGAUAAAGACAGUUUAUUAGGUAACGCAAAAGGUGUAAGUGCAAGUAAAACAAAAUAAGAAAUUAAUUCACCACUUCCAAUCAGCAGACUGAUAUUUAACCAUUUCCAGGAAAUCAAGACUUCAUAACCUGUAACGGCUACUUGGGAAAACAAAUACCAUUACUCAGAAUGUCUCCUAUACUGCUUCUUUUCCACAGCUUUCAUUGCUGAGCAUGAUACCAUACGGUAUGAAAUAUUGCUCUGGUCAGUUGUGUUCAUCUGUUCUGGCUGUAUCCCCUCCCAGCUUCUUGUGCACUUGCUGGUGGGACAGCGUGAGAAACAGAUAGGGUCAUGACACUGUGUAAGCAUUCUUCUUUUCUGAUAGAUGAACUGGAUACCGAAAGAAAGAGAUAAUAGGCAAAAAAGACAUAUUUUCUUUUCUCUCUUGUUUUCUUUCUCUAAAACACUAAAGGAAAAUCAUCUGGAGGGAAAAACAUUAGAAAUUGAAGAUGUUUCUUUGCACCACUCACAGAACUGAGCUUAAUUAUGUGGAGAUACCACAGUGGAGAAUGCUGGGACUGAAAUACUGGAAAUGUGUCAGAUUGUGAUAAUAACAGAAGAAAAAAUUUCCUUCAAGAAAGAAACUUGACCACUGGGCAUAAUGUGCUGGUCAAGGGCAAAUCAGAAAGAACUACCAUUAAGAAGUCUGUGACCAGGUUUAUAUAGUAAAGCAUAUCCUUAUCUGAGAAAACAGAUAAUGUUGGAAAAGAGACUGACAAUAAAAAGGACUUUUCUUACUCUUUUCAAAACUCUGAAUUGUGUCAGCAUCUUUUAUACAACUGAACAAUACUCACUGAAAGAAAGACAUAUUUACUUAAAGACUGCUUUAGCAACCAAAACCCAAAACACAACCAUAAACAGAAAGCACCAUCUAUGACUCAUUGCUUUGUUUCCAUUAUAAUUAAUGACAAUGUUUUUUCAAAAUCUUUCCUUAUAAAAAAAAUAAAAAAUAAAAAGAUGUUGUAUCGUGCAGCCUUCAGGGAAGAUAUCCAGGAGAGCUGUUUGGAUGAAUCUUCUUCAAGAACUUAACCUUAGCACCCAGAGCAAAGGAGAUACUUGGCUUAAAAGGAAGUUGCUACUCAGAGAUGUCCUGCCUCGGGGUAUCCAUCAGUGAAAGAGGGGCACAGCCAAGUCAGGCUUUCAUUUGAUACAUUUCCCAUGUGUCACCAAAAAGACAAGAACAUAUAUCCUAGCUCAGAUGGGAUGUCAACAGCCACAAGCCAAAUUCCUCAUCUGCUGUGUGUGGAAAACAACACAUUGUGUAAGUUGUUAUCUUCUGUAUACAAAAAAAUAAAAUAGUAAGAGACUAAGCAUGUACAGAAAUGCACAAAGAAUCAGGCAUGGAGAUUUUAUACUACAUAUUUAAUUUCUGUCUUUCAGAAUAGAUACUAUGGUUGGAUUUAUAUACUGUUAAUGACAAAAUAAAAGGAAUGUUAUAAGCAUUGCAAAAUGUGAUGUAUUUUAAAAUUCCUUUAAUGAUUAGCCAAAAAAUAUUAUUUAAGCCUUAGUCUGAGAGAAUUUGUUUAUAUGUAUGGCAUUUAAGCCUUCACUAUAUGAAAGACUUUCAAAGUGUAAAAUUAUGAAUGGACACUACUGUUGAGGUUACAAUGAUUUGUAAAAUUCAGUGGAGUGCCAGAAGCUGCCAGCUGGAAAGAAGACAGGAGAAUGUCAACAGACUGCAUUCAGAAGGAAUCCUGAUGUGUUGAUGUAAUAGCUAGAUAAUUAAAUGAUUUGCCUGCCUUAAAAUUCCAUUUACAAAGAAGUCAUUUAGCCUUUGAAGUGGAAGACUUUAGAGAUCAUAUAAACAUAUCCUAGGUUGAAAACAGACUCUUUAACUGUAUUAGAUUUGUCUUUGUAAACAUUAAUUCUAAUACAUCAGUAGCUAAGGUUGAUACAUUUAAUAAACAUAGAAAUGUAUUUGAUAUCUUGCUAGCUAUGAAGUUAAAAAACAAUUCUCAUUUUUCAGUAAAGUCUGGAAAAAAAAUUAGAUUUAUCUGUCUAGACAAGGGCAAGUGCAUUGUCCUCACAUGAAUAGAGUAACAGAGUAGCUGGAAAGUUCAGAGACACACUGUAGGAAAAAGGAGUACAGUUUUCAAACUGACCUGCCUCAUAAAUUGGACUUUUAUCCAAAACCCACUUCAUUAAAAAUUUAUUAUUUCAAAAUAUUCAUAUCAGGUUAUGAAGAUUCAAGUUUCAGCUGAUAAUGGUGAGAAGAAAGCUAUAUUUAUCUUUACAGGCCUCAUAAUUAAAUAGAGCAAGACAAUUAAGACAAUUUUAUUUAUGUGACUGGAACCAUGAUUUCCACUGUCCCAUAAAAUUUGACAAAGCCCUUCAUUAUUGUUCUUUUACUUGUAAAUAAGACUGCACUCAUCUCAAAAAUGUAGAAUAUUAUAUGAAGCAUACCAUACAUUUUUCAUUAGUUCAUGCUGUUGGACAAUUACAUUUUUAUUUUUUAUGUUUUGGAACCUCUAGUGCAUAAAUGUCCAAACUUUUGGUUUGCCUG